rnacentral:rRNA from 1 species
UACGUAGGGUGCAAGCGUUAAUCGGAAUUACUGGGCGUAAAGCGUGCGUAGGCGGUUUGUCGCGUCGGGAGUGAAAACCUCGGGCUUAACUCGGGGCUUGCUUUCGAUACGGGCAGACUGGAGGUAUGCAGGGGAGAACGGAAUUCCUGGUGUAGCGGUGAAAUGCGCAGAUAUCAGGAGGAACACCGAUGGCGAAGGCAGGUCUCUGGGCCACUACUGACGCUGAGAAGCGAAAGCAUGGGGAGCGAACAGG